rnacentral:sRNA from 1 species
CACGUCGUGCCUGUUACUUAACAAAAUAAUAAAAAUAAAAGUCCUCAAAAUACUGAAUGAAGAAAAGUCAACCACCUCCUGAUCUUAUAAAAUACAGACGUUAUUUACAAAAUGACGAUUACGUUCAAUCUAGUAUACACGUUUAAUAAAUAAAAUAAAUUCUGCAAACUUAUUCUAAUAGCUCUAGGAAAGAAGGAGCACUUGUACCACUUUGUCCUGGCAGAUCAUCAAUCAACUAUAUUUCAUUACUAUGUCACGUGUUUUUUUAAUCACGAUCUACAUGAACCAAAGAAACCUGGAAGUUUGUGCUUCUCUACUUUGUCUUGAGCUUACCUCAACCUAACCACGGUACCAUAGCGUCAUCGCCAAAGCAGUGGUAUAAGAUGGUCGGUUGGCUGUAUGGCACUGUUGAGGGAUUAUGUACACAUAUUGAGCAUUACUUGCCCUAGAACCCAUACAUGAGGUUCCCCGCACUUCAGGAUUGGCUUAUUGACACUGACCGUUAGCCACGACACUUAUGUGUGUUCAGUCAAGUAGGAUCCAUCCACUUUAGGACGAUUCCUACUCAACCGAAAGUGGAAAAGAAUCUGGUCCUUAUAAUCUCAUGGUCAAGCGUAUUAAGUGCUGCGGACAAAUUCUGCAUGGAAAGGGUUGAUAUGUGGCCCAUGUCGAAGUUGCGAAGUAGGUCAUUUAGUACUCUGCCACUGCUGUCUCUUUGCUACUGCACUUCCUAUAUGCAGAUUGGAAUUCUUCCAAGAAACAGUACCAUUUGAGAUGGCAAAGAAUUAUAAUGCGCUCCAGACGCUUUAACAGGAAAGGAAGAUUUGAUAUCGGGAGAUAGACUUUUAGAUACUCUGAGUCUUCAAUAAAUGUCUAAAGGGUGCAUCAUUCAAUAGCUGUGGUUCAGUGCCUGAUGUCAGUGGACAGUUCAUAAUUUUAAGAAUGUUUAGGAUAAGUUCAUCUAUAGUAUAGAUGACGGUUGAUUCUAUUCACUCUGGGCGAAGUUGGAAUGGGAACAAGGUCACAUGACGUAUUUGGCAUCUUUAAAAUAAAACUCUUGACAUAAUCUUCAGUGACACACUGAAACUCAGAAAUAAGAAAAUUUGAAAGAUUGGAGAGUGGUCCAGCGUCGAUAAAAGGGAAGGUUGCCAUUUCUUGCCUGCUUGAUCUUGCCAAUGAAGAAUGUAUUAAAAGAGUCAAUGAGCUCAGAUUAUGUAACAGAAAACAGCAAAUAUAUUCAUAUAUUAACUAAAAUUUUAAAUGAGCUAUUUAGAAUCACCACUGAAAUGCAUAUUAUGUCCAAGAUUGAACUAGGCUUCAACAUGGGCAUUAUGUAUGUCAAAAUCUGAAAAGUAUCAAAAUUUGAAAUCUCUUAAAGCUACUGUUCCAGACGAAGUUUGCAAAGCUCAAGAAAAUUCGGAAAGACGGACAUAGCCCUAGGCACGAAAAAUCUUUAGUCAUGACAAAAUUCUGGUUUGUUUUUUUUUUCUUGGACUAAAUGCAGUAUAGAAGAGGAACCUAGAAAUAGAAUCAAGUUGAUUUAGAAGGACUCAAGACCGCAUCACAAAUGAAAAAAAUCCAAAACAUAAUCAUGACGGCAGUUGAGCCACACGAUGCCAUUUUUUUCGAAUAAUUCAAAUAGAUCAAGAAACUAAAGAUUUUCCCAAAUCAACUAUUAGUUCACAAGCAAAGCAAUUACUCAAGACUUUAAUGGAUCCAGAAAAACAUGAAAGUUUAAUAUCAUUUUUGUUAUAUUCAACUGAUUACAACAUACAAGUCAAUUAUCGUAAAACGAUGGUAAUUUUACAAAAGAUAUUCAAAGACUUACAGACAUCUGGGAGGUCAAUUGACACCAUUCAGAUGAUAUUACGCUCGAUCCUGAAGAAAGCGGGAAUGCACUCUGGACUGUUCUCGGCCCUCCGGUGACAUGUUUGAGCAAGGAUGUUAGACUCUUCUAGAUGUUAGACUCUUCUAGAUGUUAGACUCUUCUAGAUGUUAGACUCUUCUAGAUGUUAGACUCUUCUAGAUGUUAGACUCUUCUAGAUGUUAGACUCUUCUAGAUGUUAGACUCUUCUAGAUGUUAGACUCUUCUAGAUGUUAGACUCUUCUAGAUGUUAGACUCUUCUAGAUGUUAGACUCUUCUAGAUGUUAGACUCUUCUAGAUGUUAGACUCUUCUAGAUGUUAGACUCUUCUAGAUGUUAGACUCUUCCAGCCUAAAAGGACUAGCAAAACCAUGCCGAGAAUGUACACACACACACACAACACGUUU